rnacentral:rRNA from 1 species
UACAGAGGGUGCGAGCGUUCAUCGGAAUUACUGGGCGUAAAGCGCGCGUAGGCGGCUUUGCAAGUCGGGUGUGAAAUCCCCAGGCUUAACCUGGGAACUGCAUUCGAGACUGCAUUGCUAGAGUAUGGGAGAGGGAAGUGGAAUUUCCGGUGUAGCGGUGAAAUGCGUAGAUAUCGGGAGGAACACCGGUGGCGAAGGCGGCCCCCUGGUUGGAUACUGACGCUGAGACGCGAAAGCGUGGGGAGCAAACAGG